CAUGCUUUGUCAUCAUUGUUGAGUCCAUUAUUAGGAUUUGUAAUUGUCCAAUCACAUCUUUCUCACGUAUAAUCGGUUUUUGGAAUGAUCUCAAUAGGUUCCUUGUGAAAUACCAGUGUAGGCAAUCAUUUCACUGGGAGCUGUGUCUCUCCUUUUGAGAUGGUUCUUGGAGGUAGUCCUCACGAUCAAAGAACUUGUAUAGUGUGCAGUCCAAUUCAUUUCAGGUGCUUCCUGCUUGUUAACAUAAUCC
rnacentral:lncRNA from 1 species